UGCAUUGGAUUCUAGUCCAAAUGCAAUAAUCGAUUCCGACUCAAUCGGUUGGUCCAUUUGAGUGAGCUGUAAUCAAUUCAGAAUCUAUUUUAGAUUCCAAAUCGGUUCAGGAAUAGCUUAAAGAUAGAAUCGGAAAGAUCGAGUUAAACAACGAUUUUUGAAGUAAACGGAUCCAUUUUGAAAGAAUCGCAUCCCCCAAAAAAAUCCUCCCGAUGUUUACAUAAACUAAAUCGGUGGUGAUUGUAGUAUCUCCUUAGAAAAUUCUUACUUCGAAAAUAAUUACUUUCCUUGACAUGUUCAUUUUACCACUCCUACUAAGUAAUGAUAAUAUACCUGAAAUUGCAUGGGAAUUCCGUCGUUACUCGCCUUACCUGAUAAAAGAGAUUAUAGGUCGCAUGUCGCUGCUAACACUGAAAAUUUAUCAUCUCACUCUCACAUAUGUUAGGUCCAUUAGUUUGACACCUAUUACCCCGGGUAUACACCUGUCAAAGUAAUGGAAUUCAAUAUGCUAGAGCGAGACCCCAUGUUUCAGUCCGUGAAUGCAUGGAGACAGUAGCGCUUUGCUCCCUCUAGUAGUUAUAAUCUCUUUUUACCUGAUGGAUUGGAAUAAGAUCGAUUUUUUGGAAUAUAAAGAUCGAUUUUGAAAACAUCGCAUCGAUAUCGCCCAUUCCUAGAGACAAAUCCUUCUGGCGGUGACGACUUUCCAAAUGUGCAUUCUGCGUAGACUUCAUUUUGUGAACCGUCAGCUCGCUUUAUUGAAGCGCUUUUUAUUUAAAUAAUUAAAUUUGUUUUACGCCACGCAGCGGAAUUAAAUACAGUGUUCAGUGUCGGUGGUGUUGAAGAAAAUUGUCGGUGUUGUUAAAGAUAACUAUCGUUUAGAUCAUCAGCGAAUUACAGUGUGUACAAUGGAUGCAGUCUUCGAGGAUUUUAUAUCUGAAGAAAUCGCCUUGGAUGAAGACUGUACAGAGCAAUCACUAGUGGACACUCUUCUUCAAAACAAUGGAUUAGAAUGUUUAAUCCCCAGUGUGCACGAGCAAGAACUGGAUGAUGUGGAUUUGUUCGUUCGACUAACGGAGAGAGAGAUGGAGAUUUUAACUGCUGGAUAUACAUUGGGUGUGAAAGUUCGUCUACGAUUGUGCAUUGAGGCGGUGAGUUCAAAUAUUCGGUUAAUUUAUGCGACAUACACCCUUAUUAUUGUUUGGGAUAAAUACGAGAUUCGUUCGAAAGCGGUUCGAACGAAUAGUUAACCCAUUCGACUAUGCUCUCGUAAACGAACAGUCCAACCACUUUCAUUCGAAUCUUGCAUUUGUUGUAAACAAGAAUAAGAAGUGGCAUAGUUUCUUAAGAAAACUUUUAACUUCAAAUAAAAUCAUGAAAAAACA